rnacentral:rRNA from 1 species
GAUGAACGCUAGCUACAGGCUUAACACAUGCAAGUCGCGGGGCAGCAUGGGGGUUGCUUGCAAUCCCCGAUGGCGACCGGCGCACGGGUGAGUAACGCGUAUCCAACCUGCCCUUCACCACGGGAUAACCCGGCGAAAGUCGGACUAAUACCGUAUGUUGUCCAUUGACGGCAUCCGAUUUGGACGAAAGGUUUGGCGGUGAAGGAGGGGGAUGCGUCCGAUUAGCUGGACGGCGGGGUGACGGCCCACCGUGGCGACGAUCGGUAGGGGUUCUGAGAGGAAGGUCCCCCACACUGGAACUGAGACACGGUCCAGACGCCUACGGGAGGCAGCAGUGAGGAAUAUUGGGCAAUGGGCGUAAGCCUGAACCAGCCAAGUAGCGUGCAGGAUGACGGCCCUAUGGGUUGUAAACUGCUUUUAUGCGGGGAUAAAGUGGCCCACGUGUGGGUUUUUGCAGGUACCGCAUGAAUAAGGACCGGCUAAUUCCGUG